rnacentral:tRNA from 1 species
GGGCGUGUGGCCUAGCGGAUAGGGCGGAAGGUUCCUAACCUUCAGACCACGGGUUCGAAUCCCGUCACGCCCG